rnacentral:ncRNA from 1 species
GAAAAAGCGUUGACGAGGAGAAGUAGAAAACAUUGGCAUUCCAGAGAGAAUCACCUUGGCUGGAAGUGAUUCAUGACCGAUGUUUUUGAAAUGCCCCUCGGAGCCUCCUUUCGAACCAGAGCAGAGACGUUCUGUAGUAGAUAGGAGCGGAGUUUCUCCGUUAUCAGAUUGGAGUGAGCUAAACGAAUCGUUUAGCUAAACAGAGUGGAACCGCGCCUAGAAGCGUCUCUGUG